GCCGGGAUGGCGGAACUGGUAGACGCGCCAGACUCAAAAUCUGGUAUCUUUGCGGAUGUGUGGGUUCGAUUCCCUCUCCCGGCACCA
rnacentral:tRNA from 1 species